ensembl:snoRNA LOC120103292 small nucleolar RNA SNORA48
UCCCCCUGACAAUGGGCAAAGAAACACUUUGUUGGUGGUGGUGUCCUUAUAUCAGUCAGGGGCAGAGCAGACGGCAGUCCUUUCUUCUUCUUCUUUUUUUUUUUUAAUUCUUUUUUUCGGAGCUGGGGACCGAA